UACGUAGGUGGCUAGCGUUGUCCGGAUUUACUGGGCGUAAAGAGCGCGCAGGCGGUCGUUCAAGUCGAGUGUGAAAGCCCCCGGCUCAACUGGGGAGGGUCACUCGAUACUGAUCGACUCGAAGGCAGGAGAGGGAAGUGGAGUUCCCGGUGUAGUGGUGAAAUGCGUAGAUAUCGGGAGGAACACCAGUGGCGAAGGCGGCAUUCUGGACCAAUAUUGACGCUGAGGAGCGAAAGCCAGGGGAGCAAACGGG
rnacentral:rRNA from 1 species